UUCGGUCCUUGUCGGCCGUAACCGCGAUCCUCGGUUCCGACGGUGUCGCCUACCUCGAGCUCAGUGAGCCGAUGUGUGAGCGCCGCGACGCCCAGAGCAGCCCCGACGUUAAGCGUCGUCGACGUAGAAAUAUUGCCACAAAGGAAAUCAAAGGUCGAAUUUCUGUGCGGAUCGUACGUGUUGCCACGGGACUAAAGACAUAGACGAUGAACGUUCAUUAAAAUAAAAAAAAAAAUAAAUAAAAAAUCGUGCAUACAAGAGAAUUCAUUGCUGGACGACAUCUGUAUGAAUCCUGACGAAUGAGUCGCUGUGGAAAUUAUGAAACGUUAAACACACCCCAAAGGCAAAGGCACACCCUUGCAUUUAAGAAACUGGGGUACUGAAAUACAUGCGGCUCAUAAACGUAAGUUCCACUUUCUAUCAUCUA